rnacentral:rRNA from 1 species
GAGUCUUAAUUGGGCGUUAAGUUGCAGGGUAUAGACCCGAAACCCGGUGAUCUAGCCAUGGGCAGGUUGAAGGUUGGGUAACACUAACUGGAGGACCGAACCGACUAAUGUUGAAAAAUUAGCGGAUGACCUGUGGCUGGGGGUGAAAGGCCAAUCAAACCGGGAGAUAGCUGGUUCUCCCCGAAAGCUAUUUAGGUAGCGCCUCGUGAAUUCAUCUCCGGGGGUAGAGCACUGUUUCGGCUAGGGGGCCAUCCCGGCUUACCAACCCGAUGCAAACUGCGAAUACCGGAGAAUGUUAUCACGGGAGACACACGGCGGGUGCUAACGUCCGUCGUGAAGAGGGAAACAACCCAGACCGCCAGCUAAGGUCCCAAAGUCAUGGUUAAGUGGGAAACGAUGUGGGAAGGCCCAGACAGCCAGGAUGUUGGCUUAGAAGCAGCCAUCAUUUAAAGAAAGCGUAAUAGCUCACUGGUCGAGUCGGCCUGCGCGGAAGAUGUAACGGGGCUAAACCAUGCACCGAAGCUGCGGCAGCGACGCUUAUGCGUUGUUGGGUAGGGGAGCGUUCUGUAAGCCUGCGAAGGUGGCCUGUGAGGGUUGCUGGAGGUAUCAGAAGUGCGAAUGCUGACAUAAGUAACGAUAAAGCGGGUGAAAAGCCCGCUCGCCGGAAGACCAAGGGUUCCUGUCCAACGUUAAUCGGGGCAGGGUGAGUCGACCCCUAAGGCGAGGCCGAAAGGCGUAGUCGAUGGGAAACGGGUUAAUAUUCCCGUACUUGGUGUUACUGCGAAGGGGGGACGGAGAAGGCUAUGUUGGCCGGGCGACGGUUGUCCCGGUUUAAGCGUGUAGGUGUGUGUUCCAGGUAAAUCCGGUUCACUUUAACACUGAGGCGUGACGACGAGGCACUACGGUGCUGAAGCAACAAAUGCCCUGCUUCCAGGAAAAGCCUCUAAGCAUCAGGUAACAUCAAAUCGUACCCCAAACCGACACAGGUGGUCAGGUAGAGAAUACCAAGGCGCUUGAGAGAACUCGGGUGAAGGAACUAGGCAAAAUGGUGCCGUAACUUCGGGAGAAGGCACGCUGACACGUAGGUGAAGUGAUUUACUCAUGGAGCUGAAGUCAGUCGAAGAUACCAGCUGGCUGCAACUGUUUAUUAAAAACACAGCACUGUGCAAACACGAAAGUGGACGUAUACGGUGUGACGCCUGCCCGGUGCCGGAAGGUUAAUUGAUGGGGUCAGCGCAAGCGAAGCUCCUGAUCGAAGCCCCGGUAAACGGCGGCCGUAACUAUAACGGUCCUAAGGUAGCGAAAUUCCUUGUCGGGUAAGUUCCGACCUGCACGAAUGGCGUAAUGAUGGCCAGGCUGUCUCCACCCGAGACUCAGUGAAAUUGAACUCGCUGUGAAGAUGCAGUGUACCCGCGGCAAGACGGAAAGACCCCGUGAACCUUUACUAUAGCUUGACACUGAACAUUGAGCCUUGAUGUGUAGGAUAGGUGGGAGGCUUUGAAGCGUGGACGCCAGUCUGCGUGGAGCCGACCUUGAAAUACCACCCUUUAAUGUUUGAUGUUCUAACGUGGACCCGUGAUCCGGGUUGCGGACAGUGUCUGGUGGGUAGUUUGACUGGGGCGGUCUCCUCCUAAAGAGUAACGGAGGAGCACGAAGGUUGGCUAAUCCUGGUCGGACAUCAGGAGGUUAGUGCAAUGGCAUAAGCCAGCUUGACUGCGAGCGUGACGGCGCGAGCAGGUGCGAAAGCAGGUCAUAGUGAUCCGGUGGUUCUGAAUGGAAGGGCCAUCGCUCAACGGAUAAAAGGUACUCCGGGGAUAACAGGCUGAUACCGCCCAAGAGUUCAUAUCGACGGCGGUGUUUGGCACCUCGAUGUCGGCUCAUCACAUCCUGGGGCUGAAGUAGGUCCCAAGGGUAUGGCUGUUCGCCAUUUAAAGUGGUACGCGAGCUGGGUUUAGAACGUCGUGAGACAGUUCGGUCCCUAUCUGCCGUGGGCGCUGGAGAACUGAGGGGGGCUGCUCCUAGUACGAGAGGACCGGAGUGGACGCAUCACUGGUGUUCGGGUUGUCAUGCCAAUGGCACUGCCCGGUAGCUAAAUGCGGAAGAGAUAAGUGCUGAAAGCAUCUAAGCACGAAACUUGCCCCGA